GGGAAUGUGGCAGAGAGUAUGCGACUGGCUUGAAACCAGUUUGAUAGGAGUGCGAAUCUCCUCGUUCCUU
rnacentral:tRNA from 1 species